rnacentral:rRNA from 1 species
CCUACGGGAGGCAGCAGUGGGGAAUAUUGCACAAUGGGGGAAACCCUGAUGCAGCGACGCCGCGUGAGUGAAGAAGUAUUUCGGUAUGUAAAGCUCUGUCAGCAGGGAAGAAAAUGACGGUACCUGACCAAGAAGCCCCGGCUAACUACGUGCCAGCAGCCGCGGGAAUACGUAGGGGGCAAGCGUUAUCCGGAUUUACUGGGUGUAAAGGGGGCGUAGACGGGAGGGCAAGUCUGGCGUGAAAGGCGGGGGGUCAACCCCCGGACUGCUCUGGAAACUGCCAGGCUGGAGUGCAGGAGAGGUAAGUGGAAUGCCUAGUGUAGCGGUGAAAUGCGUAGAUAUUAGGAGGAACACCAGUGGCGAAGGCGGCUUACUGGACUGCAACUGACGUUGAUGCUCGAAAGCGUGGGGAGCAAACAGGAUUAGAUACCCCUGUAGUC